GUCCACGCCGUAAACGAUGGAUACUAGCUGUUGGGCGCAAGUUCAGUGGCUAAGCGAAAGUGAUAAGUAUCCCACCUGGGGAGUACGUUCGCAAGAAUGAAACUCAAAGGAAUUGACGGGGGCCCCGCACAAGCGGUGGAGCAUGUGGUUUAAUUCGAUGAUACGCGAGGAACCUUACCAAGGCUUAAAUGUAGAUUGACAGAUUUGGAAACAGAUUUUUCUUCGGACAAUUUACAAGGUGCUGCAUGGUUGUCGU
rnacentral:rRNA from 1 species